GUAAUCCUUCCACUAUAUCGCUAUAUGAUAUUAUGCUUUUGUGCCUCUCUCUCUCUCUCUCUCUCUCCAUAUAUAUACAUUUAAUCUAUUAUUCCCUACUGGGUUCUGCUGUAGAAUAAUCCACAGGAAAGAUAAUAUGUUGCCCCCCAAAACUAAUUUUAAAAUCCUUUUUUCUCAAAGUGGGACCCACUGACCCUGGCUUAGUACAGCUCUCUCAGAAUGUCCCAAGGCUUGUGGACCAGUAUGCCCUUCAUGGAAGGUGUAUGCAGAAGUGGUUACAGCCAAGUUCGGAAGGAAUUGCACAUAACAUUAAAGAGGUCAGUGUCUGUCCACAGGCAACGGGAGCCACAGAAGCCUUCUGAGCUGAGGAUUGAUGGGUGAUGGGAUGAUAUCACCAGCCACGACCUCUGGAAAGAGCAGGGUCCCUCCAAAGCUGGAGGCUAGAUGACUUCAUCCUCAGUCCCACUCCAAACUUCCUUCCCCAUCCCACCUCCUCUUUU
rnacentral:lncRNA from 1 species